rnacentral:rRNA from 1 species
GUCCUAGCCGUAAACGAUGGACACUAGGUGUGGGGGACGAUCCCUCCGUGCCGCAGCUAACGCAUUAAGUGUCCCGCCUGGGGAGUACGGCCGCAAGGCUAAAACUCAAAGGAAUUGACGGGGCCCGCACAAGCAGCGGAGCAUGUGGCUUAAUUCGAAGCAACGCGAAGAACCUUACCAGGGCUUGACAUAUGGGUGAAGCGGCGGAAAACGUCGUGGCCGAGAGGAGCCCAUACAGGUGGUGCAUGGCUGUCGU